CGCGUGUGUGAAGAUGCCUUAUGGGUUGUAAAGCACUUUCAAAUGUGAGGAAAGGUGUGUGGUUAAUACCCGCAUACUGUGACGUUAACAUCAGAAAAAGCACCGGCUAACUCCGUGCCAGCAGCCGCGGUAAUACGGAGGGUGCAAGCGUUAAUCGGAAUUACUGGGCGUAAAGCGCACGUAGGUGGUUUGGUCAGUCAGAUGUGAAAGCCCCGGGCUCAACCUGGGAACUGCACCUGAUACUGCCAGACUAAAGUACGGUAUAGGGUAGUGGAAUUUCCGGUGUAGCGGUGAAAUGCGUAUAGAUCGAAAGGAACACCAGUGGCGAAGGCAACUGCCUGGACCGAUACUGACACUGAGGUGCGAAGGCGUGGGUAGCAAACAGGAUUACAUACCCUGGUAGUCCACGCCGUAAACGAUGUCAACUAGCCGUUGGGGGACUUGAUCCUUUAGUGGCGCAACUAACGCGAUAAGUUGACCGCCUGGGGAGUACGGCCGCAAGGUUAAAACUCAAAUGAAUUGACGGGGGCCCGCACAAGCGGUGGAGCAUGUGGUUUAAUUCGAAGCAACGCGAAGAACCUUACCUACUCUUGACAUCCUGCGAACUUGCUAGAGAUAGCUUGGUGCCUUCGGGAACGCAGUGACAGGGGCUGCAUGGCUGUCGUCAGCUCGUGUUGUGAAAUGUUGGGUUAAGUCCCGUAACGAGCGCAACCC
rnacentral:rRNA from 1 species